rnacentral:rRNA from 1 species
GAUGAACGCUGGCGGCGUGCCUAACACAUGCAAGUCGAGCGAUCUCUUCGGAGAGAGCGGCGGACGGGUGAGUAACGCGUGGGUAACCUGCCCUGUACACACGGAUAACAUACCGAAAGGUAUACUAAUACGGGAUAAUAUAUGAAAGUCACAUGGCUUUUGUAUCAAAGCUCCGGCGGUACAGGAUGGACCCGCGUCUGAUUAGCUAGUUGGUAAGGUAAUGGCUUACCAAGGCAACGAUCAGUAGCCGACCUGAGAGGGUGAUGGGACACACUGGAACUGAGACACGGUCCAGGCUCCUACGGGAGGCAGCAGUGGGGAAUAUUGCACAAUGGGCGAAAGCCUGAUGCAGCAACGCCGCGUGAGCGAUGAAGGCCUUCGGGUCGUAAAGCUCUGUCCUCAAGGAAGAUAAUGACGGUACUUGAGGAGGAAGCCCCGGCUAACUACGUGCCAGCCGCCGCGGUAA